rnacentral:tRNA from 1 species
UGAUAAAGAAAGGAACUAAACCAAUGUAAGUAGGACUACAGCCUACUGCCUAUCACUCGGCCACUUUACCU